CACUCGCUUUAAUUUCUCUAUUUUGUCUCACAGGGCUUGGAGAAACUGAGAGAGGAAUUGGUGAAAGAGAGAGAGAGAGAGAUGGAGGAGAGGAUCGCCAUCAUGAGGGAGGAGGAGCGGAGGAGACUGGAGGAGGAGAAGCAGAUGGAGUUUGCUGAGACUGCCCGAGCUUUGACACAAGACAAGGAGAGAGUUAUCGAGGAUUUAAAGAUACGAAUUGAGCUUCUUACGGAUGAGUGUGACAAGAGAAGAAGAGGAGGAGGAGGAGGAGGAGGAGGAGGAGGAGGAGGAAGAGGAGGAGCUGGCAGAGGAAGGAAGAAGAAGAGGAGCAGGAGGAGGAGGAGGAGGAGGAGGUGAAAUUGUCAAGGAGAAUGCUGAUUUAAAGACGCAAAUCAACGCGCUUCAAAAACAGGUCAAGAAUUUGGAAACGGAAUUAACAAGGGCAAAACGGUUUUCAUUCGUAACACAGCAAACUACCACAGCCGCCGCCGCCACAGCCACAGCCACAGCCCCCGCCGCCACAGCUACAGCCCCCACAGCCACAGCCGCUGCGGAUAUGACCACCUCCACAGCGUCUGCCACUUUGAGUGAAGAAAGUUUGCCCCACCGCGCAAGCCAGUCCCGGGGUCUCAUCACCUUCACAACAUGCCAAGCUGGGGAUACAGUACUUGUAGUUUGGGACUCUCUCCACGGCCACUACAAGGUGCUGUUAGAAGGAAUCGCGUCACAGCAUCUGCAUUUCUUCAUUCCGAUGCCUACAGCUUGCUUGGACUUAGCAAAGACAAUCCCACAAUGAAGAUGUAUUUGCCUGCUGAAGUUAUUAGCAAGGAAUUCUGCCAAGCCAAAAAGGACGACAACAGGUUCAGAGUUCCCAAAGGCACAAGAUUUUAUAGAGUAGUAGCGAAGCCAUCAGUUAUAGACGCUACUACUACUACUACUACUACUACUGCUACUACUACUACUAGUGCUGCUACUACUACUACUGCUGCUGCUGCUGAUGUUACUACUACUACUACUACUACUGCUUAGGUUAAAAUUGUAGUUAUUAUUGUUAUUAUUAUUAUUAUUAUUAUUAUUAUUAUUAAAGGGAAUUUUUUGUGGUAUUUUGAACGGUAUGUAAAAAAUAUAUCGGUUUUGAGCGGUAUUUGGGAGUUUUCGGUAUUUUGAACGGUAAUAUAUGAAAAAUCUCGGUUUUGAGCGAUAUUUGGAAAUGUUCGGUAUUUUUCAGCGGUAAUAUUUGGAAAUGUUUGGUAUUUUGAACGUUGAUAUAUGGAAAAUUGCGGUUUUGAGCGGUAAUAUUUGGGAGUAUUCGGUAUUUUGAACGGUAAUAUAUGAAAGAUCGCGGUUUUGAGCGAUAUUUGGAAAUGUUCGGUAUUUUUCAGCGGUAAUAUUUGGAAAUGUUCGGUAUUUUGAACGUUGAUAUAUGGAAAAUCUCGGUUUUGAGCGGUAAUAUUUGGGAGUAUUCGGUAUUUUGAACGGUAAUAUAU